GUGGUCAGCAGGUGGCACUGUGUGUGUUAUGAGACUGUGUGCAUGCGCUCUCACUCGUUGAAAUAUCCUGUUGAGAUUGCGAGCAGUGCAAGCAACGCGUGUUCUCUGGAAAUUGUGGUCAUCCAUGGUGAACAACAUAUGUUGGAGAUUUCAUCCUUUGUAAAGUGUAUCUGGUUUUAUGUUGGAGCUCAACGUGAUUAUUCCCACUGCCGUAUUGUGUUGUAACAUUUUGAUAUUGUUGCAUUAUUUGUAAUUGUUUUAUUUUCUAUUUUCUUUUGCACUGAGAUUUUUGUAAUUUUCCUAUUCUCUUGCAUUUGAAAAUAACAUCGUAGAGCUACGAAGGUUUAAUUUGUGUCAUCAGCUCUGUGAAAGCGCUCAUUUUAUUUAUAUAAAUUUUGUUUCGCUUUUACUGAUCUUUUUGUAAACUUUCUUCUCAAUUAAGUUGAGAGGUCGCUUUUGAUAGUGAAUCAUUUUCUCGAAAACAGUAAAUGAAUAAACAAUAAAGUAGAACCCCUCAAUGUGUUCCUGGUGGUGAAUUUAAAUCCCCGGUCACACAUUUUGGUACCAGGAGUGGGGUUGUUUAUUCACUUUGAUUAGGAUUUUUUGGAGCGGUUUAGUUAGACAAUACGGCAGUGGUGAAUAUUUUACAGAGUGCAGAGGAUCGCGGAUGAGGUGGUCAGCGUGCGACCGAUUGGGUUUCCAGUGUGCCAGGCUUGACUGCUGCUAAGAAGAUCGGUCCAGACUGAUGCGUUUCCUGCUGUCAACGUGUGGCCUUCCAGGAUCUCAUGGCUGCAUCCCAGGAACUGUGCAUUAGUG